rnacentral:tRNA from 1 species
GGUGGGGUGCUCCGAAUGGUAAGGAACCAGUCUUGAAAACUGGCGCCCGCAAGGGCUUGCAGGUUCGAGUCCUGUCCCCACCGC